AAAUACUUCAAUUAAGAAUUUUUACUAAGUUUGUAAAUAUUUUGUAUGCUCUUAGAAAAUAUGUUAAUUGAAAGAGCAAGAGAAGUGACCCAAUGGCGCACCAGAGUCGUAAACCAUCUAUACUUAAAUAUAUGUGUACAAUAUUUAACUUUUCUCCAACCAAAAUACGUUUUAAAUUGGAAUAUUAGAACUGACUUCGUUUGUUAUGGGAUAUUAUCCAGAUGGAUUUAGUUAUUGUAAAUACAGAUAAUUUUAUAAUAAUUGGCCCAUUCGAUUUCAAUAAUAAGAAUUAAGCAAGUUAGACAUAGUAUUGGAUGAGAAAAGUAGAAGUCAAACAGUUAUAUGAAGGCUGUGAUCUAUUUAUUUCAAAGAACGGAUAACAGGAGGAUGGCGUUGUUUUACUUGGCUGUGUACAAAAUUAAAGUUAAAUUGUGUUAAACAUAAAAAUUUUAAUUGUGCGGAGGUAAAAUCGCAGAAAUAAUUAAAGUUUAUUUUUAUUCCACCUGAAAAUUCUGUAAAAACAGAAGAAUCGUUUUUAUUGAACACGACGUAUUAAUAAGAAUAAUUACAGUAUUCUGCAGAAAAUACAUAUUUUAAUAAAUAGUUCUACUGAGUCGGGAUAGUCAAUGUUGCUGCAGGUUUCCACAAGGCUACAACUCCAAAGCAGUUAAAUUACUUAACCACAACAUCACAGCUACAAAUUUAUAUCCAGAAAAAAGAGUAUAAAUUUUUUAAAUUUGAUUUAAGUCUUCAGCAGUUCGCACAUUUUUAUACCACUAAAACUUUUAUGGUACAGUGAGAAAAUUUUGAAUUUUUAUUAAAUCCCUCUAUUCUGGAUCAAAAUAUUAUUUUUUGGUUAAAUAAAGCAGAUAGACUAAGUAAAAAAAACUAAAAAGAGAGGAACCUAUUUCCAACUAGGAAAAGAGAAGGCAGUAGCGCUGUGGAGGAUUGGUGUUUUGUCUUGUCCCGAUCCUCAGCUACAACAAGAAGUCAGUAUACCGAUGGAUUUUGUCACACUUUUAGUGCACUCUAUGUAUCAUAUGCUGUGACUAAUUUUAAAAUUUUCAUUUCACAAGUGGACAAAUACUAACCAAAAUGAAUGUUAUCAAAAAGUUGUGUACCACGUUAGGUCAGAAAAUUUCAGUAUUCCUAUAAUUUGCUUGUGACAACUAAUAUCGACUAUUGGAAAUUUAUGAAUCAUGUUGAAAACAAGAACGUUUGCAAAGCUACAAUUGUUUUGUAGAUUAAUAAUUAUUUUACGGGAAUUCUAUCCUGAAAUAUAAACGAACGGUUUUAAAUCAGGAAAAGAUGUAUGUUCUUGCGGUGCAAAUAAAAAAAAUAUAGAAAUUAAAACUAAUUACUUCAUUACAAUAACUGAUAACAUGAACAGAUAAAGUAUUUUCAAUUGAAUGUAAUAAUAUACUAAUCAUCGUAAUAUGAGGAGUUGAAAUCUGACUUAAAAUACAUGAACUUAACGUUCUAACAACACUUCCAAAAAAGCAAAAUAAAAACUUUAUUGAACAACAAAACGGAAUUAUAAGGUUGGGACAAGCAUUUUUUUCUCGAAAAGGAUAUUUUUGGAUACCACUGAACCACUGAAUUCAAAUAUAAGAUCCAAUCCAAGGAAUAAAAUUAAUAUGAGAAAACAAAAAAUAACUCUCAAUAUAAAGCAGAUUUAAGUUUCCAAACAUCGUUCUCUGUACGUUCACAACUAUU